GACCAGACUCCUACGGGAGGCAGCAGUGCGGAAUAUUGGUCAAUGGGCGGAAGCCUGAACCAGCCAAGUCGCGUGAGGGAAUAAGGCCCUACGGGUCGUAAACCUCUUUUGCCGGGGAGCAAGGGCGGGGACGCGUCCCGGCCCGGAGAGUACCCGGAGAAAAAGCAUCGGCUAACUCCGUGCCAGCAGCCGCGGUAAUACGGAGGACGCGAGCGUUAUCCGGAUUUAUUGGGUUUAAAGGGAGCGUAGGCCGGUCUUUAAGCGUGCCGUGAAAUUUUGUGGCUCAACCAUGAGAGUGCGGCGCGAACUGGAGACCUUGAGUGCGCGGAAGGCAGGCGGAAUUCGUGGUGUAGCGGUGAAAUGCUUAGAUAUCACGAAGAACCCCGAUUGCGAAGGCAGCGUACCGGCGCCCAACUGACGCUGAAGCACGAAGGCGUGGGUAUCGAACAGGAUUAGAUACCCGCGUAC
rnacentral:rRNA from 1 species